CCUGUAUGUAACAUUCACACACAAAGAUCAUGAAAUUUGCAAUGAAGACUUUGGGAUCAAACCUUAAUUUAUUCCCAACCUCAAUUUACAUAUCUGAAAUCCCAGGCUCUUAUCCAACAGGAUAAACAUGCUAUGUCAAGCCUAUUUGUCAUAAAUUCAAUGAACAUUUCAGUUUUGUUUUUCUUCUAUUUUGUUAUAAUGAGUUGAUGUGUGAUACAAAAUCCAUUUGAUUGGUAAACUUAUUGGAAUUCAUUAAAUGUGGAAUCAUCAGGGGGCUGCGAAUACUUUCUCUUGUUCUCGGAUCUGAAAUUACUGAUGCAUCUGUUGCUGCUAUUGCUUCUAGCUACCCUAAUUUAGAACUGCUUGAUUUCAGUGGAUCUGGCAUAAGUGACAGUGGCAUAGGAAUAAUUUGCAAUGUGUUUCCUGAAACAUUAUCAAGACUCCUUCUUGCCCUUUGUCCUAAUGUGACUUCAAGUGGCAUUUGAAAGUGAUGUGAUUUCACUCUUCCAGGAUACUAAGAUGGUUGAUGGAUGAAGAAGAACAAGGUAAAGGAGACUACCAAACAAAAAUCCAGUUUUUUAUUGUUGAAAUGUCACCUGUUACUGACAUAGACACUAGUGACAUCCAUGCCCUUGAAGAGUUACAUAGAAGUCUUGAGAAGAGAGAUAUUGAGGUAACCAAAAUAUAUAUUAUGGUUGCUAUAUGAAACAAAUAAAAUCAACAAUAAUUCAAGCUGAUCAUAUUAUCAUGGACAACUAGUAUCUUACCAAAAGGAGUUUCUUUAAUUGUUCUA